AGUCUCAGCUCUCAGGGUAACCACUCCCACGGGCUGGCUUUCCGGCACACCCACAAACAGCCCAGCCUCGGGAGUCAGCCCGCAUUCCAGGGACCAGACCAGACCGUCUGCGGGGUGCUGCUCUCCACGCCUCUGGCAGGGAAACGCUCUUGGAAGGGCUGGAAAGGUGCCGGAGUCCAGCCAUGCUGGCGCUGCUGUGUGCCUGCUGGUUCCUGGUGGCCUGCGCCUCGGUGGGCUCUGAUGCCAGCUU